rnacentral:tRNA from 1 species
GGCUCAUUGGUCUAGUAGUAUGAUACAUGCUUCGGGUAAGUAAGUGAUCCCGGGUUCAAUUCCCGGAUGGGCCC